AUCUAGGGCAUUGCCACCCUGAAGGCGCUUGAUCUCGUCUGUUCUUGGAAGCUAAGCAGGGUUGGGCCCAGUUAGUACUUGGAUGGAAGACCGCCUGGGAAUGCCGGGUGCUGUAGAUU
rnacentral:rRNA from 1 species